CACGUAGGGCGCAAGCGUUGUCCGGAAUUACUGGGCGUAAAGCGCGCGCAGGCGGUCCUUCAAGUCAGAGGUGAAAGCCCAGGGCUCAACCCUGGAACUGCCUUUGAAACUGGAGGACUUGAGUACGGGAGAGGUGAGUGGAAUUCCGAGUGUAGAGGUGAAAUUCGUAGAUAUUCGGAAGAACACCAGUGGCGAAGGCGGCUCACUGGCCCGUUACUGACGCUCAGGCGCGACAGCGUGGGGAGCAAACAGG
rnacentral:rRNA from 1 species